AGCAGCCGCGGUAAUUCCAGCUCCAAUAGCGUAUAUUAAAGUUGUUGCAGUUAAAAAGCUCGUAGUUGAAUUUCGAGAUCAAUUUGUUGGUCGUGCCUCGGUACGUACUGGCAAUUUUGGUUUCUCCCUUCUGAAGAACCAUGAUGUCAUUAAUUUGGUGUCAUGGGAAAUCAGGACCGUUACUUUGAAAAAAUUAGAGUGUUUAAAGCAGGCUCGCGCUUGAAUACAUUAGCAUGGAAUAAUGAAAUAGGACGUUUGAUUCUAUUUUGUUGGUUUCUAGGAUCGACGUAAUGAUUAAUAGGGAUAGUUGGGGGCAUUAGUAUUCAAUUGUCAGAGGUGAAAUUCUUGGAUUUAUUGAAGACUAACUACUGCGAAAGCAUUUGCCAAGGAUGUUUUCAUUAAUCAAGAACGAAAGUUAGGGGAUCGAAGACGAUCAGAUACCGUCGUAGUCUUAACCAUAAACUAUGCCGACUAGGGAUCGGAUGAUGUUAAUUUUUUAAUGACUCAUUCGGCGCCUUACG
rnacentral:misc_RNA from 1 species